rnacentral:rRNA from 1 species
UACAGAGGUCUCAAGCGUUGUUCGGAUUCAUUGGGCGUAAAGGGCGCGUAGGCGGCACGGCAAGUCAGGAGUGAAAGGCCUGGGCUCAACCGAGGAACUGCUUUUGAGACUGCCGAGCUAGAGUGCAGAAGGGGCAACUGGAAUUCCCAGUGUAGCGGUGAAAUGCGUAGAUAUUGGGAAGAACACCUGAGGCGAAGGCGGGUUGCUGGGCUGACACUGACGCUGAGGCGCGAAAGCCAGGGGAGCAAACGGG